UGAAUACGGGACGCUAAGGCGUCGAAGUAGUGUAUGUCAUACUUCCAAGAAAAGCUUGCACUGUCAUAGAUAAAAAACGCCUGUACCAUAACCGACACAGGUGGGUAGGUAGAGUAUACUAAGGGGCGCGAGAUAACUCUCUCUAAGGAACUCGGCAAAAUAACUCCGUAACUUCGGGAGAAGGAGUGCCUUAUUCGUAAGGUUGCAAUAACAAGAUCCAAGCAACUGUUUAUCAAAAACACAGGUCUCCGCUAAGUCGUAUACGAUGUAUGGGGGCUGACGCCUGCCCAGUGCCAGAAGGUUAAAGAAGCUGGUUAGCAAUUGCGAAGCUGAUAACUGAAGCCCUGGUGAACGGCGGCCGUAACAAUAACGGUCCUAAGGUAGCGAAAUUCCUUGUCGGGUAAGUUCCGACCCGCACGAAAGGCGUAAUGAUUUGGAUACUGUCUCGGAGAGGGGCUCGGUGAAAUAGACUUGUCUGUGAAGAUGCGGACUACCUGCACCAGGACAGAAAGACCCUAUGAAGCUUUACCGUAACUUGAAAUUGAAAUUGGACUUUAUUCGCGCAGUAUAGGUGGGAGGCGUUGAUUAUAAUCUUGUGGGAUUAUUGGAGCUAUCAGUGAGAUACCACUCUUGUAAUGUUAGAUUUCUAACUUUGAAUCAUUAUCUGGUCAAAGAACAGUUUCAGGCGGGCAGUUUGACUGGGGCGGUCGCCUCUAAACGGUAACGGAGGCGUACAAAGGUUUCCUCUGAACGGUUAGAAAUCGUAUCUAGAGUGUAAAGGCAUAAGGAAGCUUGACUGUGAGACCUACAAGUCGAGCAGGGACGAAAGUCGGUCUUAGUGAUCUGACGGUACUGAGUGGAAAGGCCGUCACUCAACGGAUAAAAGUUACUCUAGGAUAACAGGCUGAUCUCCCCCAAGAGUUCACAUCGACGGGGAGGUUUGGCACCUCGAUGUCGGCUCAUCGCAUCCUGGGGCGGUAGUACGUCCCAAGGGUUGGGCUGUUCGCCCAUGAAAGCGGUACGCGAGCUGGGUUCAGAACGUCGUGAGACAGUUCGGUCCAUAUCCGGUGUAGGCGUUAGAAUAUUGAGAGGAGCCUUCUUUAGUACGAGAGGACCGAGAAGGACAUACCUCUGGUGUACCAGUUAUCGUGCCAACGGUAAACGCUGGGUAGCUAUGUAUGGAGUGGAUAACCGCUGAAAGCAUCUAAGUGGGAAGCCCACCUCAAGAUAAG
rnacentral:rRNA from 1 species